UACGUAGGCAGCAAGCGUUGUUCGGAGUUACUGGGCGUAAAGGGCUCGUAGGCGGCCAACUAAGUCAUACGUGAAAUCCCUCGGCUUAACCGGGGAACUGCGUCUGAUACUGGAUGGCUUGAGUUCGGGAGAGGGAUGCGGAAUUCCAGGUGUAGCGGUGAAAUGCGUAGAUAUCUGGAGGAACACCGGUGGCGAAGGCGGCAUCCUGGACCGAUACUGACGCUGAGGAGCGAAAGCCAGGGGAGCAAACGGG
rnacentral:rRNA from 1 species